AUUGGUUCAGUUUAACAGAGGGUACUGCAGACGUGCAUCCCAACGGGUGCCUUCACUCAUGAACAUACUCGCUGUAACAAGUUGCAACCCUGGAGCGCAUUAUUGACGAUGACUGAACGUAUCUGAGGAAGCGGGCUUCGCUGCUCAUACAGAAGCUUGUAGAGAGGUCGAGCGACUCGCGCAAGGCCGUUCGAAAAGCACCACGUCCAUACGGACAGUUCGGUAAGCCUCGACGCACAACAAUUCUUGGAACGUCGCUGUACAUACCGACGGUUCCGGGGAAUUGCACGUCUUGCACGGAAGUUCGUUUUCCUAAACACACGAAGUUAUACCGAUGUCCCGCAACCAAGCGGUGCCAAGGCCAGUUUCUCGCCCGGGCCUCGAGCUUCAGGGCCACAGCUGAGACGCCUUUCAAACCUCUCCCAGCAGGUUUGCUUAUGCACAGGCUUUCUCAAGUGGCUCCGAGUCUUGCCAUCAGCUCAGUUGGAAGCCUGCAGCCGACGGUGGCCUCCGCGUCCCGGCAAGUAAACCAAAGACCGGGCAGGGACUCGCGUCGCUCCAAGUUGUCUACGAAGACCAGCGUGUUCUUUCGCGUUCGCUGCAGCGCUUCCUGCAGCUACGAAUGCUGCAAAGCACGCAUGAGGAGGUCUUACAGGGGUAUGCGGGAAUCCCAUGGCAAAGGGUUAGCUUUUGAUUGACGUUUCUUUCCCAAUAGCGGGAGCAUGCACUUGGAGGUAGUCCACGAGCAUGACGCAAUGUGUAUGGAGAGCGCUCGCGACCCAUACCUGCAUACUGGCUUACACUGCGCAACCAGCCUCUCGGUGUUCGUAGCGCACCGCACCAGCAACUGAGGAAAGCAUACCAGAACGUAGUUUGCGCGACCGCUGCAAACAUUGAUUGUUCAAGGACUAUGCGGGGAGUACGCUACCGAGCCGAGGGACGGAAACAACACAUGCCGUCGUCUGCCGCCGCGAGGAUAGCAGGAUACCACUCUCCUCAAAGUGAGCCGCUAUUCCAGGCAGUCGUAUCAGGGCCAGUGUGAUAAACAACGACCUGAGAAACGCCAGAAAGCGCUUGAUAAUCGUCAUCGUCACUGGAGUCAGUAUCACAGGAACGGCGCAUGCUCUUUUGAAGAUGAUUCCGACCACUACGCAGUCAUAUCAGGGCCACUGUGAUAAACAACGACCUGAGAAACGCCAGGAAGCGCUUGAUAAUCGUCAUCGUCACUGGAGUCAGUAUCACAGGAACGGCGCAUGCUCUUUUGAAGAUGAUUCCGAAAGAAGUUCGCUAGGGCUGCAGAGGAAGCCUCUCUGUCUCUGGGCUUAACGGUACUUUCAGCUUGCGAUGCUGACUCCUUUUCUAUUCGCAGUUGGGCGCUGGGCAUCGUGCUAUGCGGGUCCAGGCUCUGACCUGCCGAAUCAUUAUGGACAGCGUCAGAAAGCUCGGGAACAUGCUCCACUGAGGUACGAAUGCCAUCACAGACCUCAUCUCUGCAAGUUUCCACCGCACAAGUGCUUCUCCGAAGCUCAUGGGAACU